GGGUCAGAGAUUACCUUCAGAUGGAGGAUUGAUGGUUUCUCCUCGCUUCUUGAUAAGGGUGAAGGAUGGACGAACUCCAGUGUGUUUGAGAUCAGGGGGCAUUACUGGAACCUGAUGCUGAACCCAAGGGACAGAAAGAGUGGCGACGAAAAUGAAUAUGUUUCUCUUAUGCUUGUGCUGUUUCAACUAUCUGAGAGAUCCCAUACGGUCGUGGAGGCAACUUUCAAGUUCUUGUUAUAUGAUCAGUCAUAUGGAAAGCACCACGAACAGCAUCAAGUGAGCCACAGUUUUCAGUCUACAAGCAGAGUCUCUGGGAGCUCAUGCAUGAUCCCCCUCGCGAAGCUUAAGGAGCAAUCCUCUGGAUUCCUCGUCAAAGACAGCUGUGUUUUCGGUAUCCAGUUCAUCAAAGUUGUCGCUGUUAAAGGUAACGAUGUGUCAGAGACGCUGUUUGUUCAGAAGACUAGCAACAUCUGCAGUGACCCGCAAGUCUACACCUGGAACAUUGAUGAUUUCUUUGUGUUGAAGAACCCGAGCACCUCCCCAGAGUUUGAGCUCUGUGGACACAAAUGGUUCAUCACUCUCUAUCCAUCUGGUUACGAUAAGAAUGGGAACUACCUCUCCCUGUCUCUGAGCAUGAAGGUUCCGGACACACUCGAUAAGGACUCGGCAAUCCUUGCAGAAGUUAGCAUAAGCAUCAAAGACCAGGAAACGGGGAACCACGCGAAAUCAUCAGCCCGGAUCCAGUUCAAGAAUGAUACCCACACUUCGUUAUGGGACAAGUUCAUAUCGUUGGAAGAUUUCAAGGACUCAUCAAAGGGUUAUCUCGUGAAGACAAAGUGCUGCAUUGAAGCUCAGGUUGAAGUCAUUGUUUCCUCCAAGACGGUGUAG
rnacentral:rRNA from 1 species